GAUGAACGCUAGCGGGAGGCCUAACACAUGCAAGCCGAGCGGGAUUUGUUGGUUAGCUUGCUAAUUAACAAUGAGAGCGGCGUACGGGUGCGUAGCACGUGUGCAACCUGCCUUUAUCUGGGGGAUAGCCUUUCGAAAGGAAGAUUAAUACCCCAUAACAUAUUGAUUGGCAUCAGUUAAUAUUGAAAGCUCUGGCGGAUCGAGAUGGGCACGCGUAAGAUUAGCUAGUUGGUGAGGUAACGGCUAACCAAGGCUGCGAUCUUUAGGGGGCCUGAGAGUGUGAUCCCCCACACUGGAACUAAGGCACGGACCAGACUCCGACGGAGGGCAGCAGUAUGUAAUAUUAUGCGAUAAGGGAUGACCUGGUCCAGCCGUCCCGCGUAAAAAACUAUUGGCCUAUGAAAGGUAAGCUUCUUUUAUACAAGGAUAAUCCUACUCUCGAGAGAGUUGCUGAAGGUACUUUAUGAAUAAGCACCGGCUAACUCCGUG
rnacentral:rRNA from 1 species